CUCGAUUGGGUGCUGCGUGUUUGUAUCUGCAUGUGGGUCGCGCCAUGUUGUUGGGCCUGAUGUCAGUGAGUGUGGCUCGCUGGAUCAAUCUCCCGCAGAUAACACUGCCCCAAGUUUCUUCCCUUUGCCUUUCCAAAGAAGGCUUGAAACCCACGCGACCUCGCUCUCGUUCCCCACAAGGCCUCCAACCACUCCUGCUUCUCCGCCGCCGCCACCUCUUUCUCUGCCAAAUCUACAUCGCCUUGAGAGGGCUUCCCCGCGAGGCAUUGCAGAUGAGAUGGGGCGCUGGCGGAAAGGCAGCGAAGGCAUGGCGAACGGUGCGUGUGAGCCUCUGGUGACGCGCGACAGCACCACCGUGCUGCUCUGAACGUGUGUCGUGGUGCUGCUCGCGGCGGCCUUCGAGAAGCACGGGGUGUGGUCCGGCUGCCUCGCGCAGACGCUUUGCAGCGCCCGGUGCUUCUGCCGGCGGACCGCGGGAGGGUCGCCGCCACCGCCGCCGCCACAGUCGGACUACCGCUACCGCCAAAGUGUUAGUCGGUAUUUCAAAGAAUACUCAAGGCCUUUGCAACAAAAGUAUAUGCCAGGCUGCCAUAAGGUGGUACUGGCAUUGUUGCAGCUGCUACUAGUACCGACGGGCAGAUCAGGGGAUGGUGUGAGCGAGUCUCAGUUUACCCAAGUACAGAAUCUUGAGGUUGAUCGAGUAAUAAAGGUUGUACUUGACACUUUGGCUCUAGAAACUCUUGGUUUUCUGGAAAGGCCUUUUUUACAGACUUUUGAUGAUGCGGGCUUACUAGAAUAUGGGUCAGGGGCAACCUCCAAAGAUUACAGUUACUGUUGCUCAAAAGAAUCACCACACGGAACUGUUCCAAGCUGAUGCACCAGAUAAUGUUCCGCCUGGUAAGCAAUUGUCCUAUGUCAAACAUAGUGGAGUGCUUAGCAUCCCCACCAAAGAAAAGAGGACAAUUUAUGGAACUAAAUUGUGUUUUGGCUCUGAACAUUUCAAGCUGUUGUGAUUUCACCCUUGAUCUGUCAGGUUUUAUUCGGCAUCCUAAAUUGAUUGACGAAGGGAGUAUAAAAUUAGCAACACGGAUCUUAUUACUUAUAGACAUUAUCUAAAAGAGGUUUACUCUGUCAAUGAAAGGGUUGUGUUUGUCAUCAAUACUAUGCUUCACAUGUCAGUUUUGUGGCCAAAUGAUCUAAACCAGAUUUACCUAGUUCUAGAACAGAAAAGAAUCUGGUGUUUCCAUUCCUUGGAUUUGCUCCAACGAUUGUCUUUAGACUUUUCUUCAAAUCCACUCGGUUUCUUUUCAUCUCGAAUUUGUUUCAUUGUUUGCAAACCAAGAAAAAGGUUUAACGGUUUUCAUAUUCCUGAUUUAGUAGUACGUUUGUUUGUAGUUUCUUCGUAUAGAUAAUAAAUUAGGGGCAGAGCAGCCACCUCUCAGGCGGUGCCCCAUUCAUUAUUUUCACUCGUUCAAGUAUAUCCUGGUUGGACAUGCAUGUUUGAAUUUGCUUUUGUAUACCAAUAUGGAAGUAUACUAUUUCAAGAUAUUUUACUAAAGUAGCUUCUGAUUUGUUCACAUUUGUAGAACUGCACAGUCAUGCUCAUUCCUUCUCUUCUCCUAAUUAAUCUCAUGUCAAAUUAAGCUUUAUCCCUUGAUUAGGAUUCUGAGCUACUUAAAUCUCUUCGCCCACAUGCAACAAUUGUAGACUCGGCAAGCAGGUCAGCGCCAUAACCCCUUCCCUUCAUCAUGCCUUUAGUUAACGUGCACACGUCGUACCUGUUCUAACAUGUUUGGCUGCCUAUUGGGUGAUCAUGUUAAUGCCUGAGAUAUGAAGUGUGCAUCGCAUUUUUUUCACAGGACCAAAGGUAGGGAAAAUCUCAAGUUGUAUACUUAUCUUUUAUUUAUUUACAUAUAAGGAGAGCCUGAAGUCAUGGUACGUCCGAUCAACCACACUCGCUUCUCCCAGAAUUUGUAUAUUCACUAGAAGUUCACGACCAGUCAAGCCAAAGAUAUGAAAUGGAACACACAGCUGAGGAGAGAAGGACGUCUCCUCAACAAAGCACGUCUGGUUGUAGUGCGAGAAGAAGUACGUGCAGCAAAGUUUUGUGGGUAUAUGUGCGAUUUGUGGUCCUCUCAAUGGUGAACGGUUGUGUAUAUGCGAUUUGCUGGUGCUCUCAAUGGUGAACGGCUUUGGCUGCCUAGCAAAGUUUCUGCAUCAAGAUGCUCUUCUGUCAUGUAUAUUGUGAUCCAAAUUGCCUUCCUCAUUUUUGAACAAGCUGCCAUAAUGUAAUGUAUCAUUUAGCCGGUUACUGCUACUCGCGGACUGUCAGUAACAGAUCUUAUCGACUUAAUAUUGUUUAGAGCU